rnacentral:rRNA from 1 species
CUAGCUUGCUAGAUGAUGUCGAGUGGCGGACGGGUGAGUAAUGCUUGGGAACUUGCCUUUGCGAGGGGGAUAACAGUUGGAAACGACUGCUAAUACCGCAUAAUGUCUUCGGACCAAACGGGGCUUAGUCUCCGCCUAAAGAGAAGCUUGCGGCUGAUUAGCUUGUUGGUGAGGUAAUGGCUCACCAAGGCGACGAUCAGUAUCUGGUUUGAGAGGACGAUCAGACACACUGGAACUGAGACACGGUCCAGACUCCUACGGGAGGCAGCAGUAGGGAAUUUUCCGCAAUGGGCGAAAGCCUGACGGAGCAAUCUCGCGUGAGGGAUGACGGCCUAUGGGUUGUAAACCUCUUUUUUCAGGGAGGAAUAACUGACGUGUACCUGAAGAAUAAGCAUCGGCUAACUCCGUGCCAACAGCCGCGGUAAGACGGAGGAUGCAAGUGUUAUCCGGAAUCACUGGGCGUAAAGCGUCUGUAGGUGGUUUAAUAAGUCAACUGUUAAAUCUUAAAGCUUAACUUUGAAAUCGCAGUCGAAACUAUUAGACUAGAGUAUAGUAGGGGUAAAGGGAAUUUCCAGUGGAGCGGUGAAAUGCGUAGAGAUUGGAAAGAACACCGAUGGCGAAGGCACUUUACUGGGCUAUUACUAACACUCAGAGACGAAAGCUAGGGUAGCAAAUGGGAUUAGAUACCCCAGUAGUCCUAGCCGUAAACAAUGGAUACUAGAUGUUGAACAGAUCGACCUGUGCAGUAUCAAAGCUAACGCGUUAAGUAUCCCGCCUGGGAAGUAUGCUCGCAAGAGUG